AACCAAGGCACAGAGAAGGUGUGUGACUUGCCCGCUUAAUCACCCCACCAAACUGCCCCUGUGACGAAGUUUGUCACUUGAAGAGGAGGCUGAGAGAAGUGAGCACAACAUGAAAGAGCAUGACUGGAAGCUCCUGGUGGACAGGCUCAGGGUCCUGGAGCAUUGGAAGAGAGAGAAGGAGAUGAAGAAGCAAUCAAGGAGGUGAUGAUGGAAACCUUCUGAGGUCACUGAUAACCUUGAUGUGCAGGCAAGGAUGGAGGCCCAAGACCCUGUGGCAGCAUGCUAAAUAGUUCCUUCCUGGCUGACAUCAAUCAAGACUCUUCAAGCUCCAUUGUUCAGCUGCAAAAGCCCCUCACCGGAACUUCUCCACCCCACAAUUCUCCACCUUGUUCGUAAGCACAGGGUGAGCAGCCUUGUCAGAGCUUUGUUGAACUCCAGAGACUGACACAGUCACAAAAUAGAGUGAGGCCCAGUUGGCCCUGGUACUGCUUCCUCACCUCCUGGAAGGUUUCCUGACAACUAGCAACUUGACGGUUUUCUUGACAAUUUUGUCAAAGUUCCAGACUGAGCUAAGUGGUUUGACAUCGGCAAAGUCUACCUUUCCCCCAUUGAAAAUCGAUGCUAUACUCACAAA